rnacentral:rRNA from 1 species
CGAAAGCCUGACGGAGCAAGACCGCGUGGGGGAAGAAGGCUCUUGGGUUGUAAACCCCUUUUCUCUGGGAAGAAAGUUGUGAAAGCAACCUGACGGUACCAGAGGAAUCAGCAUCGGCUAACUCCGUGCCAGCAGCCGCGGUAAGACGGAGGAUGCAAGCGUUAUCCGGAAUGAUUAGGCGUAAAGCGUCCGCAGGUGGCAGUUCAAGUCUGCUGUCAAAGACCGGGGCUUAACUUCGGAAAGGCAGUGGAAACUGAACAGCUAGAGUAUGGUAGGGGCAGAGGGAAUUCCUGGUGUAGCGGUGAAAUGCGUAGAGAUCAGGAAGAACAUCGGUGGCGAAGGCGCUCUGCUGGACCAUAACUGACACUCAGGGACGAAAGCUAGGGGAGCG